AAAAAGGCAAACCCUAAAUUUCUGUGUCCAACUUUGACUGUCCGUCUUAUAUGAAAUUUUUUAUAAUUCGUAUUUUCAUUGUUGUUAGAUGAUAAAACAUGAUUAAUAUUUUAUGCGUGACUUGUCUUUUUAAUUUUUUUAUAUUUUUUUUAAAUAAGACGGACGGUCAAAUGUUAGGCACGGAAACCAGGGUUUGUCUUUUU
rnacentral:pre_miRNA from 1 species